rnacentral:rRNA from 1 species
ACGAACGCUGGCGGCAUGCCUAACACCUGCCAGUCGAACGAGACCUUCGGGUCUAGUGGCGCACGGGUGCGUAACGCGUGGGAACCUGCCCUUAGGUUCGGAAUAACUCCCCGAAAGGGGUGCUAAUACCGGAUAAUGUCUUCGGACCAAAGAUUUAUCGCCUUUGGAUGGGCCCGCGUUGGAUUAGCUAGUUGGUAGGGUAAAAGCCUACCAAGGCGACGAUCCAUAGCUGGUCUGAGAGGAUGAUCAGCCACACUGGGACUGAGACACGGCCCAGACUCCUACGGGAGGCAGCAGUGGGGAAUAUUGGACAAUGGGCGAAAGCCUGAUCCAGCAAUGCCGCGUGAGUGAUGAAGGCCUUAGGGUUGUAAAGCUCUUUUACCCGGGAUGAUAGUGACAGUACCGGGAGAAUAAGCUCCGGCUAACUCCGUG